rnacentral:rRNA from 1 species
UACGGGGGAGCAAGCGUUGUUCGGAUUUACUGGGCGUAAAGGGCGCGUAGGCGGCCACCGCAAGUCGGUUGUGAAAUCUCUGGGCUUAACCCAGAAAGGUCAACCGAUACUGCGGGCUAGAGUGCAGAAGGGGCAACUGGAAUUCUCGGUGUAGCGGUGAAAUGCGUAGAUAUCGAGAGGAACACCUGCGGCGAAGGCGGGUUGCUGGGCUGACACUGACGCUGAAGCGCGAAAGCUAGGGAGCGAACGGG